rnacentral:lncRNA from 1 species
GUGAGCAGAAUAAUAAGAACAUUAUAUUAAUACUUCAUGCUUUCAUGGAAUGCAUCACAUCACAACAAAUCACAUCAAGGAUGGUAUUGUCACUAAUAGUCCUCUACAUAAUCCAAUAGUGCCAGGGGCAUAGAAUGGGCCUCGACCUGGACUUUCUCUUACCAUAACAUAACAUAACAUAACAUUCCAAUAAUGCCAGGGGCGUAGAAUGGGCAUCGACCUGGUCUUUCUCUUACAUAGUGUCAGGGGCAUAGAAUGGGCCUCGACCUGGACUUCCAUACAUACCAUAACAUCAUCAUAUCAUAUCAUACGAGGACUAAAAGAUCAUCCAAUAUCCAUCCACAUCAUCAACAUAAAAUGCAAUGCAAC